CGUUGCCCAUCUCCAGCAGUCACUAGACAAGAGGCGUGGUCCCCCCUGGACAGAGUCCAUCACAGGACGCUCUCUGAACAGUCCUCACCACAUUGGACCACAUACAGUAUAUGCAUGAGGGAGCCGGUAAUGGAUGCGGAGGUUGCAGGUUUUCUGCUGGACAGAACCCUCCCUCCACCUCGCCCCUCAUAUCAAAUUUAAUUACAGCAGCCAGAUUCCCAGAUGGCCCCGGUGAUCCAAGGCUUUGGUGCUGUAAACUCAUCCUUCCUGGACGGAUAUAAUGUACAUGCUCUGCAAGAUGUUUAGUCUUGUCUUCAGAGGGAAACAUGAAGUGCUC